CAGGGACACUAUACAGACAGCACACUGUACAGUACUCUAUACAGACACACACUGUACAGCAGGGACACUAUACAGGCAGCAGGUACUCUAUACAGACGCACACUGUACAGUACUCUAUACAGACAC